UUUUAGCACUCAAAUGAUCUUCUUCAGAGCUGUGUCCCCAGUGAAUUCCCCCCCCCUCCUCUGUUGUAAGUACCAACUAUGACAAAUUCGAAAUUCAAAAUAUACUCUCUUAUUAGCCCUGUUUUAAAAUAAGCAACUCUCGAACGCUGUUAGGAGUAUUGUUCCAGUUUUUGACACCAGAAAUAUAGAAACUUCGUUUUGCAUAUUCUAACCUAACUCCGGGGAUUUGAAAAUCUUUAUAAUUUCUCGUUCUAUGCUCUGAAAUCUGGGAUCCUUCAGUGAAAUUAUAACAAAGAUUGUCGGGACAGAGGUCAUGUAAAAUUUUGUAUGACCUCUGUCCCGACAAUCCUAAUUAUCUGUCCCAUACAAUCCUAAUUCAUCGGAUUUUAUCCUAAUCCGUUUCAGUGCUUCAUAAUUCAUCGGAUUCUAUCCUAUUCCUUCACAUUAUACCGGAUUGUAUCCUAAUCAAUCAGCUUUUGUCAUAGGAAGUUUAUAAAUUCGGGUUUGCGAGAUGAUCCAAGGCUCGAGCGCUUAAGAAUUGUAUAUGAAAACCGAAAAUACCAGGAAAUCCGAUGAAUUAAGAUUUAAGAAUCCAGUUUAAAGAUUCGAAUAGGGUUGUGGUUUGCGCCGUUUUUCAACUUGGAUUAAACAGGAUUUGUUGGGCCACUUGUUUUAUAGAAUACGGCUUCCAAAGUAUGGUUUUAAUAUGCGAUGAAAGACGAUUAGCACAUUUGUUUCUUGAAGCAAAUUCACUCUUGUUUCUUAUGCUUUUAGUGGCCCCAGGCAUAUCGAAUUGAUCUUGAGUAUUGUUUAAAUGUAAAAGAAAUAUUUCAAAAUGUGUCUUAAAAGCCAAAACAGAACGACAAAUUAUAUUCUUACCUCCAAAAGCCGUAUGACUACUGUGAUACGAAGCUGUUUGAGUAUUUCUGUAAAGGCCACAGGUGCCUUAGGCUCCCAAGCAUGAUACAUAGACACUGCAAGUCAAGUCUCAAACGCCCGUCUUCUGUUUUUUCACCGAUCGCUGAGCCCAAUAUUUUAGAAGUUUGUGAUUCUGAGUCUGAAAUUACUCUUAAAACCGUUCUUAAGAAGAAAUAUCAAAUUUUUGCUGUUGUCUCUCUUUAUCACGCAAACAUUGGUAGAAAGGAAGCAUUCUAGCGCAAUACAAAUUUGACGAAUGUUCCUCGAAUUUUUUUUCGUGAUAUCACGCUUGUUAUGUUUUAUCUAAUAACAGAUAGAUAGAUCAUUUAUAUGAUAUAUAUAAUAUAAUAUAUAAUACAGAUAGAUAAUAUAGAUGAAAAAUGUAAGUAUUGGUGAAUUUCGAGCCUGGCCAUUUUGUUAUUUUAUUCUUAAAUUUUACCACAAGUCAAAUCUUAUAUUAUUUUACAAUCUAUGUUUAUAAAAUGUGUUUAAAGUGCAUAUGACACGAAAAUUUUUAUUCGCCCCCAUCACGUAAUCGAGUAUGCUGAUCACGAAAAUCACCAUAAAAUUUUCGAAAAACAAACACUUUCGGAAUUACAGCUGUUUCAAGGUCGAUUUUUGCUUCAAAUUCUGUCACAAGGGAUUGGGUCGAGUUUGACAGGAAGUGACGUAAAGUGGUUGUGUUAGCGAAAAUUUACAUUGCUAACUAACAAGAAGUUAUACGGCGGAGUUUUACUUGCGAGUUUAUGAACAUGUCUCACGGCAAAUAUUCAAGCUCGAGGGCGUCAGCUUUUGACGAAAGUGAAGGGGAAUAGCUUUUAGGUGCUGCUGAUGGGCUAUUUUCGCCUUGCAAGAACGAACCAGUCUUUUUUCUGCGGAUAAUUCAGACGCGGAACCAGGCGAAGCUGGCAUGGCUCGAAGCUUUCAUGACCGGGCAGAGGACGAAGAUGGAAUACAAAAAUCCCAACAGCGUGAUCGAUGGCGAGGAAUUAUUACUUUGAGUCAAUGGUAUCUCUGUGCAAUGGCAUACAGUCUUGGUGUCUGUCAGAGACAAACGUAGAUACUUCAAUUCCAGAAUUUCUGAGAGAUUCAAAACCUUGUUGAUGCCAAAGCAACUCCAUCUGUGCAGAGCUUCCGUUAACGCUGCUUGCCUGUGAAGAACGAGGAACACAAAUUUCAAUGUUUACAUUUAACAACAAACAUGAUCCAAGAUUAAUUUUUUGGUCUUUGACCAAGGCUGACCAGCUCAAAUACCACUAUUUCUGUUAUACAGAAACGACUGAGUCCGUGAUUUAAUUGAAAGUUUUUAUAUCAUGUUUUGUUACUUGGUGACUUCUGUUUAUUGUUAAUCGAUUCUCGCUUGCAUUUUGAAUCUUUAUCCCAUAGAAUAUAAUUUCCCUGCUUCUUAAAUAUUUCUUGAGUUGCCAACCCACUGCUUUUUUAGUUUCCAAACCUUUUUCGCUUUUGUAUAAAAUAUUGAAGUAGUUUACAUUUGUUUAAAUGGUUUAAAAAAAUAACUGCAAACUUUAAUAUUUGGGUAAUUUUUAUGUAUUAAAAACGGUAAUAUGGACCCCACACAGAGAGACAAGGAGUCCCUUUUUUCCAUAAAGCGAGUGCCCCCGGUGUUGUCGAGUCAUUACCAAUAACGUAUCUCAGCUGUUACACAAUAGAACGUUGUUAGGCAGUUAUAAAAAAACAAUAGGAAACUUAUUACUCA